AUGAAAAGCUUUUUAGAAUGAAGAAUUAUCCUAGUGGAACUCUUUUGUCCACUCUGGAGUAAUUAAAUAUGGGGUGGUAACCCGUGGGUUGACGAAGAAUAGUCAACAGACUUCGAAUGAAUUCUUUUUAAGGAACGUCGGAGUGAAGUCAUAUGUUUCGACACCUAAUGCUACUGGGUGUACAUGU